UCGUCAGCUCGUGUCGUGAGAUGUUGGUUAAGUCCGCAACGAGCGCAACCCUCGUCCUUAGUUGUCCAUCAUUAAGUUGGGCACUUUAAGGAAACUGCCGGUGAUAAGCCGGAGGAAGGUGGGGAUGACGUCAAGUCCUCAUGGCCCCUACAGGCUGGGCUACACACGUGCUACAAUGGCAUCUACAGUGGGCAGCUAUUCCGCAAGGAUGCGCUAAUCUCCAAAAGAUGUCUCAGUUCGGAUUGUCCUCUGCAACUCGAGGGCAUGAAGGCGGAAUCGCUAGUAAUCGCGGAUCAGCAUGCCGCGGUGAAUACGUUCCCAGGCCUU
rnacentral:rRNA from 1 species